CCGGCUACACCUGUCCCGUCCGCCGCCAUGACGUGGGCUCCGUUGGGCUCAGCGCUUGCGGGUGCUCAGCAACCUUCAGUCUUUUGGAACCAUUUGAGAGGAAACUUGAAGCGCAUGUGCCUGCGGUCCUGGAAGCUCAGUCUGCACAAGAUAAACUUGAUGGAAGAGCAGCUUGGGCUGCUUGACACAAAGUCUGCUGAGAAGGGAGAACCUCGACAGAGAAAGUCCUUCCGUCAGGUUGGCCCGUAGGCAAGCCUGUAGGUCAUUUUCUUGAUGGAUGAUUUAUAAGGGAGAGCCCAGCCCACCGUGGGCGGUGCCUCCACUGGGCAGGCGUGUCUGGAGUAUAUAAGCAAACUGAGUCUGCGCAAGCCAAUAGGCAGCUCUCCUUCCUGGCUUCUGCUUCAACUCCUGCCUCCUCUGACUUCCUUUGGUGAUGGACCGUGAUGUGGAAUGGAAGUCCUUUCCUCCCUGUUUUGGACGUGCCUCACUCUUCCUGAGCACCUUUCUAUUAACCCCUAAGCUUAAAUGUGUAUUUCAAAUGUCUUUUAAUAAACUCUA